rnacentral:rRNA from 1 species
AUGUCGGCCAUCAAGCCGCCGCCGCCUGACCGGCCGCCGCAGGCCGCGCGGCUGCCGUCCCCUUCCUCCUCCUCCUCGGCGGCGGCGGCGGCCAAGCAAGGCGGCACAGGCUCCCGCGGGCUGCUCAUGGGGCGCUACGAGCUGGGCCGCGUCCUGGGCAAAGGCACCUUCGCCAAGGUGUACCACGCGCGGCACGUGCAGACCGGGGAGAGCGUGGCCAUCAAGGUGCUCGACCGGGAGAAGGCCGUGCGGAGCGGCCUCGUCUCGCACAUCAAGCGCGAGAUCGCCGUGCUCCGCCGCGUGCGCCACCCCAACAUCGUGCACCUCUUCGAGGUCAUGGCCACCAAGACCAAGAUCUACUUCGUCAUGGAGCUCGUCCGCGGCGGCGAGCUCUUCUCCCGCGUCUCCAAGGGCCGCCUCAAGGAGGACAUUGCUCGCCGCUACUUCCAGCACCUCAUCUCCGCCGUCGGAUUCUGCCACACCCGCGGGGUCUUCCACCGGGACCUCAAGCCGGAGAACCUCCUCGUCGACGAGGCGGGCAACCUCAAGGUUUCCGACUUCGGCCUCUCCGCCGUCGCCGAGCCGUUCCAGCCAGAGGGUCUCCUCCACACCUUCUGCGGCACGCCGGCCUAUGUCGCCCCCGAAGUUCUCGCCCGCCGUGGAUACGAAGGCGCCAAGGCCGACAUAUGGUCCUGCGGCGUCAUCCUCUUUGUUCUCAUGGCCGGAUACCUCCCUUUCCAUGACCAGAACCUCAUGGCCAUGUACCGUAAGGUUUACAAGGGAGAGUUCCGAUGUCCAAGGUGGUUCUCCAAGGACCUUACUAGCCUGAUCAUGCGUUUUCUUGACACAAACCCAAGCACCAGGAUCACCUUGCCGGAGGUCAUGGAGAGCCGGUGGUUCAAGAAAGGUUUCCGGCCAGUCAAGUUCUAUAUUGAAGACGACCAGCUGUACAACGUGAUAGAUGCCGAGAAUGAUAUGCUCGACCUGGGCCUCCCAGACCCUCUUCCUCAACCAUUGCCGCCUCCACCUCCAUCUCCAUCUCCACAACAAGUUGAUGGAGACGACUCAGGGUCAGAGUCGGACGCAUCAGUCGUGUCCUGCCCUGCCACAUCGUCAUUUGAAGAGCGCCACAGGCUCCGCGGGCCACUCCCACGCCCCGCAAGCCUUAAUGCGUUCGACAUCAUAUCAUUCUCAAGGGGAUUCAACUUGUCGGGGCUGUUUGAGGAAAAAGGGGACGAGGUGAGAUUCAUCUCGGGUGAACCUAUGCCAGACAUUAUAACGAAAUUGGAGGAGAUCGCAAAUGUGAAGAGCUUCGCGGUGCGGAAGAAGGAUUGGCGGGUGAGCCUAGAGGGCACAAGGGAAGGGGUUAAGGGGCCACUAACAAUCUGCGCGGAGAUAUUUGAACUCACGCCCUCCCUUGUAGUAGUGGAGGUAAAAAAGAAGGCGGGGGAUAAGGAAGAGUAUGAUGAUUUCUGUAACAAGGAACUGAAGCCAGGAAUGCAGCAUCUUGUGCACCAGAUGGUCCCAGUUCCAAAUACACCUACCAUUUCUGAGUUGGCCGAAAGGCCUUCAAGGUAA